rnacentral:miRNA from 1 species
AUUACAGGCAUGAGCCACUGUGCCUGGCCAACAUAUUGUUAAAGAAACAAAAUUGCUGGGUGCAGUGGCUCAUGCCUGUAAU